AUACCGUGAAACUGCGAAUGGCUCAUUAAAUCAGUUAUCGUUUAUUUGAUAGUACCUUACUACUUGGAUAACCGUGGUAAUUCUAGAGCUAAUACAUGCUAAAAACCCCAACUUCGGGAGGGGUGUAUUUAUUAGAUAAAAAACCAACGCCCUUCGGGGCUUCUUGGUGAUUCAUGAUAACUUUACGGAUCGCAUGGCCUUGCGCCGGCGACGGUUCAUUCAAAUUUCUGCCCUAUCAACUUUCGAUGGUAAGGUAUUGGCUUACCAUGGUUUCAACGGGUAACGGGGAAUUAGGGUUCGAUUCCGGAGAGGGAGCCUGAGAAACGGCUACCACAUCCAAGGAAGGCAGCAGGCGCGCAAAUUACCCAAUCCCGACACGGGGAGGUAGUGACAAUAAAUACUGAUACAGGGCUCUUUUGGGUCUUGUAAUUGGAAUGAGUACAAUUUAAACCUCUUAACGAGGAACAAUUGGAGGGCAAGUCUGGUGCCAGCAGCCGCGGUAAUUCCAGCUCCAAUAGCGUAUAUUAAAGUUGUUGCAGUUAAAAAGCUCGUAGUUGAAACUUGGGUCUGGCUGGCAGGUCCGCCUCACCGCGUGUACUUGUCCGGCCGGGCCUUCCUUCUGGAGAACCUCAUGCCCUUCACUGGGCGUGUUGGGGACCAGGACUUUUACUUUGAAAAAAUUAGAGUGUUCAAAGCAGGCCUUUGCUCGAAUACGUUAGCAUGGAAUAAUAGAAUAGGACGUGCGGUCCUAUUUUGUUGGUUUCUAGGACCGCCGUAAUGAUUAAUAGGGACAGUCGGGGGCAUCAGUAUUCAAUUGUCAGAGGUGAAAUUCUUGGAUUUAUUGAAGACUAACUACUGCGAAAGCAUUUGCCAAGGAUGUUUUCAUUAAUCAGUGAACGAAAGUUAGGGGAUCGAAGACGAUCAGAUACCGUCGUAGUCUUAACCGUAAACUAUGCCGACUAGGGAUCGGGCGAUGUUCUUUUUCUGACUCGCUCGGCACCUUACGAGAAAUCAAAG
rnacentral:rRNA from 2 species